rnacentral:lncRNA from 1 species
GUUGACUGGCUAUUGUUAGCUCAACUUGUCCAACAUUUUACUGCUUUCAUCCCUUCCAUCUUAUUUAUGUAAAAUGCAAGUUAAUAACUUGUAAUAUAAUUUUCUUCUCUGGCUACUAAAAAAAUAUUUUGUUUGUUGAAAAAACAAAAAGAUAAUUAUUAAGUAGAAUCGCACAAGACUGCAAGAAGAAGAGUGGAUAGAAAAACCUAAUCUGUGAAUAAAUCUCUCCAAAUCAUUUGUAGACUCACUUAUUAUGACCAAAUGACCAAAUGAUCAUCAUAUGUCUGGCCCAUAAACACAGUCUGGUGUACCUAUAAUGGCAUGUCGUAUUUUCUCAUUAUUGUUGCUAUUGUGAGGUUGGGAAAACUGAGCUGAAAUGAUAUGUCUGCUGCUUCUUACCAUCUACUGUAGUAUUAUAGACUUGUAGCUAACUUAUAUAAUGUUAUGUAUAAUUUUAAUGUUUUGAAAUCUAAAUUGCUCUUCAAGGUUUCUUCCUCCAUACCAUCUCUUUACCAGCAUUCGUGCUUAAUGUUUCAGCACUUCUUAGUGCCUUUGGUCAGCGCUUGCCCUCUUUUAAUGUUUGUUACAUUCUUGAGGUACUAUCAUCAAGAUAUGAAUUCUCUGCUGUCAAAUAAAAAGUGUACUGGCUAGAAUCCUACAAAUAGUGCUUAUUGUAAGCUGUGGGUCCUAUGGAAUGUAGGGAUAGAAAGUGGGUAGUAAUAGUUUUGGUUCAUACAAAAUGUGUGGAUAAAAAAGUUUGUUUGAUCAGAAGUAAUAAUAAAAUAAUCACCAACCAACAUGCAGUCUUCUGGUUUUUGUCAAUUUAAUCUUAUAUUGUCAUUUUGUGAAAUGUCUUCAGGAUUAUAUACAUCGUAGAAUCCUACAAAUAGUGCUUAUUGUAAGCUGUGGGUCCUAUGGAAUGUAGGGAUAGAAAGUGGGUAGUAAUAGUUUUGGUUCAUACAAAAUGUGUGGAUAAAAAAGUUUGUUUGAUCAGAAGUAAUAAUAAAAUAAUCACCAACCAACAUGCAGUCUUCUGGUUUUUGUCAAUUUAAUCUUAUAUUGUCAUUUUGUGAAAUGUCUUCAGGAUUAUAUACAUCGCGUUGGAAGAACUGCUCGUGCUGGACGCUCUGGGAUUGCAAUAUCAUUGAUCAAUCAAUACGAGAUGGGAUGGUACCUGCAAAUAGAGCAACUUAUUGGUAAGAAACACAUUUAAAUAAUUUCUUGGCGGAGUUAUCCGACCUUUAUUUUCCCUAGACCAAAUAUCGUUUCUGUUUCAGGUAAAAAGUUACCGAAGUACCCUGCUGAGCUGGAUGAGGUGUUGCAACUGUUGGAACGUGUAACCGAGGCCAAAAGAAUAUCUGUGAUGGUAGGCAUUUAGCAUUUUUUUGAUAUCAUAGUUUAGCAUUAGUUCUGCUUAAAAGUUGGUUGCUGAGGUUGAACUCAGGAGUUAGAUAUUCUUGUGAAUCUGUUAAAUUGGUUCACUAAUAGGGCAUGUUUGAUAUGUAGUACUGGACAAGAUUAGGCAAUACAAAUGAAUUAGAUUUUAACCUUUUUUCCUUAAGAAAAUCCACCACCGCCUAUAUUGGAAUUUUUAAGAUCCUACCAAAAUACUGAUGGUGGGUCCCCAUACUUGAGCGAGAUACUUACUUCAAGAUGUUCUAGCACAGAUCAAUCCUUGAGAAACUUAAAGAUGAAGGUACUACUUUUGUUACGGAAGUCAAAAAUAGGAAAACAAAAGCUAGAUUUGUAGUACUACUCCAUUAUUUAACGCCUAGAUCAUUAAACAUUAUGCUACAGCUAAAAAUCACCCUCAAUGCUGUGCAAUUGUUAUUUCUUUGAUCCAAUAUAUUCACCUCGGAUAUAUGGGACAUAUAAGCGACCAAGAUACAAAAUACGAUUAAGUUUAGAUUGGCGUUUAUUGCCUAUCAACACCAUGUAACAUUGCAUGGUGCCCUCAUUAGUUAAAAACCAGCCACCUUAUUCCCUUCUCUAGUUAAUAUCAGAGAUUCUAAAGUUGAAGCCCAACUUGUAUGGGUGAAUUUAAUCACGUUUUGAAUACUCCAAUCCCUGCUGCCAUCUCACUUAUACAUUGCACUGCCACCAAAGAAUCAGAUUCAAUCCAGACGUGUGAGACCAACCUACAACCAAGUCGUAGCCCAUCCAUAAUUGCUCGAAGCUCAGCCACAAGUUGAAACAAAUUUCCUAGAAGUUACAUAAGCUAGAUGACGGAACGGGAAGACCUCGGAUGUAGAAGAUCAUACCACGAGUGAUUUGGCAGGAAACAUUGUCUAAGAUGAUCCCGAAUGAUAACAUAAGAUUUUAAUUCCUUUCUUUGUUAAUAUCAUCCAGUACUGUAAUCCACCUUACCGAACAUACUCUUAGUGCCAUGUGGACUUGACAGUCAUUAUAAUAAGAUGAGGAGUAAUGGGUCCUAGGAAAAGUGCAAAUGUUAAGUAGGUUGUAGCUGUGAAUGCGUGGUUAAAAUUACAGUUUGAAAAUUUCAAGUUCUUAUGAUGAAAUCCUAAACACUGUAUUUCUGAUAUAUUUUAAAUUUUUGCUCAGAUUGCGUUGACAUUAUGGGCGUUCAAUUGAUUUCCUUCGAGUUCCUUGGUUUCUAUGUCGUAUCAUUUAGUUUGACACACUUGGUUGAUGAACCGUUUUAUAAUUUUGUACGAUUGAGAUAUAGCUAUUCUUAUCAUUUUGUUGGACUGUGUUUUCUAGGCAAUAAAUAUAAUAUCAUGAUUUUAUUUCUUAAAUCUUCUGCAGAAAAUCAAAGAAACUGGAGGAAAUAAGAGGCGAAAAGGUGGUGAAGGUGAUGCCCAGGAAGAGAUUGAGAAAUAUUUAGGUCGUAAUAAAGGGAAGUCGUUUAAGAAGACAAAAAGAUGAUGAGAAAAGGAUCAUCUUCAAGGGACUUGUUCUAAUUUGGAUUUCUCAUUUUUGUACUUAAAUUAGUAUAAUUAUGUUUCCUUGCGAGGGAAAAUUUUGUAGGAUAAUUUUGAUCAUAUCUUUUAUGGUUUACAUGAGUCUAAACGUGAAUAUUGGCAUCAAUGCUACAGCCAUAUGUCUACAUAUAUCUAUGACAAAACUGAUUCUAUAUACUGUAAAAGUCAAAAGUCUUGGCCAAAUUCUCACAAGAUUGCCAAAAACCAUAGGGAGAAUUAGGAUUCCAUUUUCCGUAGCAAAUGAUUUACUUUUUUCCUUCCAAAGAAACUUUACAUGAUAAUGGCGUAAGAAUAAUAGUGUAUUAAAUUGUUUACCUCAUCUCACAUGCAAGUAGGUAGGGCUGGGUAAAUCUCUCGAACCGAACCGAUCGAAUUUGACGAUUCUUGUCAAAUUAAAUACCCGAACGGGUAUCUGAAUUGAGAAUCGACGGGUACGGUUCGAUUCUCGGUUCUAGAAAAUCUGUGUGUACCCAAAGCAGCUGCGCGAGAGCACAAAGUGUCGUCAAGUGGAUGAAAGAAAAGGAGGGGAUCUCAUAUGAUUUCGAUGUUAUGCUUUGUUACAUUGGUGGCUUUAAAUUCAAAUACAGAGCUACAUAGAUGUAAAUGAAACUUGAGAGAAAAGGAGGUAUUGAUGAAGGGUAAUGUUUCUGCCAAAGUGACCCACAAAGAUUGUAGCAGAAUAUGCAAAAGGAGUGAAAGAACAUAGACCAUUAAGAAAGUGUCAGUGAUUAUUCACCUGUACUUUUCCGUGCUCCUCUUCACAUUAAUCUGCAGUUUGCAACUUGGAAUAAAUCAGAAUACUUAUUGGGUUGCCAGUCAAAAUGUGAAGCUGCCAUGUUUAACUACGUUUCAGAUUUUAGGUUCUCAGCUCCUCAAUUAGUGGCAGAUCAGGAUGGGCCAGGAGAGAGAGAGAGAGAUAGAGAAAAAAAAAAGUGUUCAUGCUCGACUGAUAUAUCUAUUUGGUUCUUUCAGUGAAUUUCUUGACGAAACUAUCAUUCAUUAUUAUGAUGCUUGGUUCAAGUGUAGAUACAUAUUGUUCUCUAAAGUUUUAGAAUAUUCGAAGCUACUUUAGUUUGUAUUCCUGAUGGAUAUUUGUUUUCUUGUUCAUGCAUUUAUUUGCAGUGCUGACUGUUGAAAAUGACGAUUUUGUUGACCUACUUGUUGUAGGUGGCAACACCUGGCCGUCUUGUUGAUCAUCUCUCUAAUACCAAAGGAUUCUCUCUUCGUGCAUUGAAAUACUUGGUGAGACUCUAUACGCAUUUCAACUUCCAUGACACUCUUCUCCAUGCCCCUUCAGCACCCUCUUUCUAUGCAGCUCUUUUAUAAUUUUGUGAAAUAACACUCUGGACAUUACAAAAUUUGAAUUGAAUGCAAAUUAAGUUUUUAACAUUUCUUAAUAGGUAAUAAAUGUCAUGUGAGCAUGUGAUUAUUUAUUUAUAUGACAGGUACUAGAUGAAGCAGAUAGAUUACUAAAUGAGGAUUUUGAGAAAACGAUUGAUGAAAUUUUGGGCGUUAUUCCUCGUGAGCGAAGAACAUAUUUAUUUUCUGCAACAAUGACUAAAAAGGUAUGCAAGUUAAUGGUCAUGCUGUAAACUUGUGUGUACAUAUGUUCUAUCCAUCAUCAUUAAGUCAUACUUCUGUGACGGUGGAUGUAACACGGUAGUCAACUUUUUUGCAUGUGGCCAUUAUUUUCCUGUUACAUGAUUUCUUAUUCCUUCUUUCUACGUUAAUCUUGUUUGAUAUCAUGCAGAUCACAUACACCUUCCCUCUAGUCAGUCUGCAAAUUGCAUCUUAUAGUUUCAUAAGAUUUGAUUAUAUUGUUUGGUGUUUUUAAUGUUUUGUGAAGAUCUUUUAUAUGCAUUUUUCGUAAUUUUGACCUUGUUUGAUUCUCAUUCUUUGGCCACAAAAAUGAAAAAUAUGACUGUUAUCUAUCACAUCAAAACAGCAUAUUUGACUUCUAUCUCUUGUGUGGAUCCUGUAACGGCUAUAUUUUUCAUUAUCAUUCUUACAAAAGAAUGUUCUUACUUUUUUCUGGUUAACAUUUUUAUGUAUAGAAGAAAAAAUGUUAUUUACAUUUUGCCUUGCUUUUCUUGCUUCUGCAUAUCCUGCAUCUAAAUAUAUUCAAAGUUUUCUGUAGUCAUUUCUUUGAUUCACUCAAUUACUGGAUUUGAAUUGGCAGCAGCCAGCAGAAGCAAAUCGACAGUCACCUAAUUUGUCAUCUGUGUGCAGAGGACCAAAAAGCCCAAUCCAUUUGUUAUAGUGAUAUUUUCUUAGACAGGCCUUAACUGGUUCAAGAGUAAAAGAAAACCUAGAUAGAUUUUUCUUUAUUCUUAUUUGCUGUGGCUAUCGAGUCCUGUUUCUUUGUGCUUCAGGUAGAUGUAAUCAGUUAUUUGCCAGGAAUGGAAUGUAGUGCAAAUAAUCUCAAUUGCCUAAUGAUUUCUGUUUCUCAAUGUAACAGGUGAAAAAGCUCCAGAGAGCUUGUCUAAAAAAUCCUGUAAAGGUAUGUUGUGCGUGUUCUUGCUUGUCAUUUUUAAAAAAUUCUCAUUGAAUAUUUGUCUCAUUUGUUUUUUUAUCCAACAGAUUGAAGCUGCAUCCAAAUAUUCCACUGUUGAUACGCUUAAGCAGCAGUAUUGCUUUGUUCCGGCGAAGUAUAAGGUCUGUACUUUCUAUAGCUUCAAUUUGGCAUACAAGAGACCUCCUAAUGUUGUAUGCCAGUCCUUUGUGAAGCCACUGUAUGAACAUUAAGAUGGUGAUUAUAUGUAUAUGUGUAAUUUUUUCUGGCUAAGGUGGAAAAUAUUGAGUCAACACUUUGGUAAAAAAGUGUGGUUUUAGUUCAUAUUGUGGUUCUUCUAAUGCUAAGUCAUCAUCACUUAAACUAUUAGUCUUCUUACUAUGGGGCACUAUGAUUGUAACAUCCUACAGUAAAACGUUGUCGGAAAAUGGGCACUGUUUAUCUCAUGGCGAGCACAAAAGUUCAACUCCUGGUACCUUUUGAUUGUGGAUUAUUUUUGCGUAAUAGUAAUAGGUUGAGCUUUAGACCUGCCUCAGACCUGCCCAAUUCUGUACUACGUUACAGGGCUUGUGAGUUAAAUGCUACUUAUAGAAUAUGAUUGUUCAACAAAUACGAACAAUAGGGGUAAAACUAUUAUGAAUCUAAUUUUUACUGGUUUGAAUGAACUCGGAGAAUAGUUCAGAAUAAAAGUAUGUUUGGGAAGUGUUUAUGAACCUUUUAAAUUAUAAAUAGAUAGGAAUAAGUGUUGUGAAUAGUACUUGUUUAUCCCUCGAAAUGUGAGGAUAUAAUGUGAUUGGAGUACUUAUAAAGAGUUUAUUUACAUUAGCCAAACAUAGGCUAAGUAAAAUAGAACCCUUUUUUGUGUCUGUUCUCCAUACCGUGUUUCUGCAAUUGUACUUAUAUUAAAGUAAAAGUUGCAAGGUAUUCUUUGCUAAAUUAUUUUAUAUUGUUCUUCUUUGGGUUUUGAUUUACAUCUUUUAUUUGCUGCAGGAGUGCUAUCUUGUUUUUAUUCUCACCGAGAAGCCAGAAAGUACAUCUAUGGUUUUUACUCGAACAUGUGAUGCAACUGUUCUUUUGGCUUACCUUCUUCGGAACCUUGGCUUUAGAGCCAUUCCGAUUAGUGGUCAUAUGAGCCAGGUAUUAUUUAAAUAUCUUACUAACAGAUUUGCUGAAGUACUACUUGUGUGUUACACAUGGAAACAGUCCAUUUUUGCAAUAUAGUCUGUUUCCAUGCGCUUUCACAUUCAUUUCGCUUUUAUUUGCAGGCAAAAAGACUUGGAGCCUUAAACAAAUUCAAGUCUGGAGAGUGCAACAUACUCAUCUGUACUGAUGUUGCCAGUAGAGGACUUGAUAUCCCAUCUGUAGAUAUGAUUAUCAACUACGAUAUCCCCAUCAACUCAAAGGUUAAGCUUUAUUCUUCGUGGUCUAUAAACUAUGUUCUUGUUCCAAAGAUGUCUGUUUUCCUCAAUAUCCAAUUUCUGAGUUCUCAUUUCAUGUUGACUGGCUAUUGUUAGCUCAACUUGUCCAACAUUUUACUGCUUUCAUCCCUUCCAUCUUAUUUAUGUAAAAUGCAAGUUAAUAACUUGUAAUAUAAUUUUCUUCUCUGGCUACUAAAAAAAUAUUUUGUUUGUUGAAAAAACAAAAAGAUAAUUAUUAAGUAGAAUCGCACAAGACUGCAAGAAGAAGAGUGGAUAGAAAAACCUAAUCUGUGAAUAAAUCUCUCCAAAUCAUUUGUAGACUCACUUAUUAUGACCAAAUGACCAAAUGAUCAUCAUAUGUCUGGCCCAUAAACACAGUCUGGUGUACCUAUAAUGGCAUGUCGUAUUUUCUCAUUAUUGUUGCUAUUGUGAGGUUGGGAAAACUGAGCUGAAAUGAUAUGUCUGCUGCUUCUUACCAUCUACUGUAGUAUUAUAGACUUGUAGC